rnacentral:rRNA from 1 species
UACGAAGGGGGCUAGCGUUGCUCGGAAUUACUGGGCGUAAAGCGCACGUAGGCGGAUUGUUAAGUCGGGGGUGAAAUCCUGGAGCUCAACUCCAGAACUGCCUUCGAUACUGGCGAUCUCGAGUUCGGGAGAGGUGAGUGGAACUGCGAGUGUAGAGGUGAAAUUCGUAGAUAUUCGGAAGAACACCAGUGGCGAAGGCGACUUACUGGACACAUAUUGACGCUGAGGUGCGAAAGCGUGGGGAGCAAACAGG